UUUGGGGCGACAAGCGAAGGACA
rnacentral:miRNA from 1 species